UUUUAUGAUUGAGUUUUCCCUGCAAGACGGAGGUAACAGAUUGCACAAACACAUUGAAACAUUUUCAGCUGUUCACUAACACUGUUACAUUUUCUGGAAUUUUCAAUGGAAUGGGAGAAUACGAGAGGCGAAUACCCAAUAUUUCAAGAAGAAUAAACGAAAAGCGCAGUUUAUUUUGGAUUUUAAAGAGAGAAAACGAAAGAGGUUAACAAGGAGAAAAAGAAAUCGUUUGGACCAUUGGUAAAAUUCAAAUCUAUUGCGUGCAGCAACCAAAUAAUGGAGUAUGUUUUGAAUUAUUAAAGUUAAAUAGUGUAUAUUUAAUUCAAAUAUUUGUUAUAG